AACGAACGCUGGCGGCAGGCUUAACACAUGCAAGUCGAACGCCCCGCAAGGGGAGUGGCAGACGGGUGAGUAACGCGUGGGAAUCUACCCAGAUCUACGGAACAACAGUUGGAAACGACUGCUAAUACCGUAUACGCCCUACGGGGGAAAGAUUUAUCGGAUUUGGAUGAGCCCGCGUUGGAUUAGCUAGUUGGUGGGGUAAUGGCCUACCAAGGCGACGAUCCAUAGCUGGUCUGAGAGGAUGAUCAGCCACAUUGGGACUGAGACACGGCCCAAACUCCCACGGGAGGCAGCAGUGGGGAAUAUUGGACAAUGGGCGCAAGCCUGAUCCAGCCAUGCCGCGUGAGUGAUGAAGGCCUUAGGGUUGUAAAGCUCUUUCACCGAUGAAGAUAAUGACGGUAGUCGGAGAAGAAGCCCCGGCUAACUUCGUGCCAGCCGCCGCCGUAAAAC
rnacentral:rRNA from 1 species